rnacentral:rRNA from 1 species
AUUGAACGCUGGCGGCGUGCUUAACACAUGCAAGUCGAUCGGUAACGCGGGGGCAACCCUGGCGACGAGAGGCGGACGGGUGAGUAAUGCCUAGGAAUCUGCCUGGUGGUGGGGGACAACGUUUCGAAAGGAACGCUAAUACCGCAUACGUCCUACGGGAGAAAGCAGGGGACCUUCGGGCCUUGCGCUAUCAGAUGAGCCUAGGUCGGAUUAGCUAGUAGGUGAGGUAAAGGCUGACCUAGGCGACGAUCCGUAACUGGUCUGAGAGGAUGAUCAGUCACACUAGAGCUGAGGCCGUGUCCAGACUCCUACGGGAGGCAGCAGUGGUGAAGAUUGGACAAUGGGCGAAAGACUGGUCCCGCCAUGCCUCGGGUGUUAAAUAGGUCUUCGGAUUGUAAAGCACUUUAAGUUGGGAGGAAGGGCAGUAAGUUAAUACCUUGCUGUUUUGACGUUACCAACAGAAUAAGCACCGGCUAACUUCGUGCCAGCCGCCGCCGUAAGAC